AUUAAGCCAUGCAUGUCUAAGUGUAAGCAAUUUAUACGGUGAAACUGCAGAUGGCUCAUUAAAUCAGUUAUAGUUUAUUUGAUGGUUCCCACCCCUCUGAUCUUCACGGAUUGGAGGACUACAUGGAUAGCCGUAGUAAUUCUUGAGCUAAUACAUGCACAGAGUCCCGGUGAGUCAAAUUGCCGGGAUGCGUUUAUUAGGUACCUUAAAACUGAAGGCCCCAUCCUCGGAUGGAAACAAUGCUUUGGUGAGUCAUAAUAACUGAGUUCAGCGAAUCGCAGUGGCGCUUUGUCGUCAGCGAUAGUUCAUUCAAAUUUCUGCCCUAUUAGCUUUCGAAGGCUGUGUAGUGGACAGCCUUGGCGUUGAUGGGUGACGAAGAACAAGGGUUCGGUUUCGGAGAGGGAGCCUGAGAAACGGCUACCACCUCUAAGGAGGGCAGCAGGCGCGUAAAUUACCCAAUGGGGAUUCCCCGAGGUAGUGACGAGAAAUAACGAUACCGGAAACCUACUUGCCAGAAAUGGCUUGCUAGGUCUGGUAAUUGGAAUGAGCAUAAUUUAAAUCCCUUAGCGAACACCAUUGGAGGGCAAGUUCCGGUGCCAGCAGCCGCGGUAAUUCCGGCUCCAAUAGCGUAUAUUAAAGUUGUUGCAGUUGAAAAGCUCGUAGUCGAACUUGUGCGGCGAGUGCGCGGGCCGGGUGGUCCCUCUUUGUGGUCACGUAUCACGAGGGGGGGCCGCCUCCCGCCGCGCCGCAUCCUUCCGGGGAGCACGCGCCGCCCUUCACUGGGAUUGGCGCGGGCGCUCCGGAUCCGUCACUUUGAAAAAAUUAGCGUGUUUAAAGCAGGCAAUCACUUUUUUGCUUUGAAUAGUCCAGCAUGGAAUGACAGAAUAGGACCGCCAUCCGGAGUUUACUGGCCUUCUGGUGAGUUUGCGGAAUGUUUGGUGGUAAUGAUUGAUAGGGACAGCUUGGGGGUGCUCGUAUUCAGUGGCCAGAGGUGAAAUUCAUGGAUUCAUUGAAGACGAACUACUGCGAAAGCAUUCACCAAGGAUGUCUUCUUUGAUCAAGAACGAAAGUUGGGGGAUCGAAGAUGAUCAGAUACCGUCGUAGUCUCAACCAUAAACGAUGCCGACUAGCAAUCGGCGGUCGUUGGGAAGGGUUCGUUGCAUUGGGUCAAACCAAGCGUGACGAGCCCGAUCAAUCGACCCCGUCGGGAGCUGGCGGGAAACCAUUAAGUGUCUGGGUUCUGGGGGGAGUAUGGUCGCAAGGCUGAAACUUAAAGGAAUUGACGGAAGGGCACACAAGCAAUGGAAUUUGCGGCUUAAUUUGACUCAACACGGGAAAACUUACCAAGUCCGGACACAAGGAGGAUUGACAGAUUUACAGAUCUUUCAUAGAUUUUGUGAGUAGUGGCGCAUGGCCGUUCGUAGUUGGUGGAGCGAUCUGUCUGGUUCAUUCCGAUAACGAACGAGACCUCGACCUGCUAACUAGCCCGCGCGGCGGCUCGGAGAGGGUGGAGGCGGAUCCGGCUUCGGUUGGUGAAACUUCUGCUCUUUCUCCGGUCAAAGCCUCCGGCGCUUGGGGCUUCUUAGAGGGACCACCGGCUCGCACUGAGUGCUCAAGCCGGGGGAAGUUCGAGGCAAUAACAGGUCUGUGAUGCCCUUAGAUGUCUUGGGCUGCACGCGAGUUACACUGAUGCAUUCAGCGAGUCUGCAGUGGUUUUUGGAUCAGGGUCAAACCUGAUUCGCCGCAGCUUCCUCGACCGGAAGGUCCAGGGUAAUCUUAUGAACAUGCAUCGUGAUGGGGAUAGAUCAUUGCAAUUAUUGAUCUUGAACGAGGAAUUUCUAGUAAGCGCGGGUCAUCAGCCCGCAUUGAUUACGUCCCUGCCCUUUGUACACACCGCCCGUCGCUUCUACCGAUUGAAUGGUCCGGUGAAAUCGACGGACUCGG
rnacentral:rRNA from 1 species